AAUUUUCGGCAAUGGGGGGGAACCCUGACCGAGCAACGCCGCGUGAACGAGGAAGGCCUUCGGGUCGUAAAGUUCUGUUGCGAAGGAAGAACGCCGGAGGGAGGAAAUGGCCUCCGGGUGACGGUACUUCGCGAGAGAGCCACGGCUAACUACGUGCCAGCAGCCGCGGUAAUACGUAGGUGGCGAGCGUUAUCCGGAAUCAUUGGGCGUAAAGAGGGAGCAGGCGGCCGUGAGGGUCUGUGGUAAAAGACUGAAGCUCAACUUCAGUGAGCCAUGGAAACCGGACGGCUGGAGUGCGGCAGAGGAUCGUGGAAUUCCAUGUGUAGCGGUGAAAUGCGUAGAUAUAUGGAGGAACACCAGUGGCGAAGGCGACGGUCUGGGCCUGCACUGACGCUCAUUCCCGAAAGCGUGGGGAGCAAAUAGG
rnacentral:rRNA from 1 species